CAGCAGUGCCCUAAAAUGUCACAAAUCCUAUUGGUGGUGAUCUCCUAGUAACUGAAUACAUUCACACAAGACCUCUGAACAUGUCCUCUGGCACCUGGCACAAAUAUAUUAGCAGCAGAUCCUUUAAGUCCUGCAUGUUGAGAGGUGGGGAGUCCAUGGCUUUGUUGUUCCAGCUCAUCCAACAAAUGCCGAAUCAAAAUGAGAUCUGGGUAAUAUGGAGGCAAAGGCAACACCAUGAAAGGGUAUUCCUCCACCUCACCACAUGAGUGCAAAGAUCCAAGCUUUCCCAACAGAACAUUGCCCAGAGCAGAACACUGCCUUAGCCGGCCUGCCCUAUUGCCAUUGUGCAUCCUAUUGCAAUCUCCUCCCCAGGUAAAUGACGCGCAAGGCCAUUCACCUGAUUUAAAAGAAAUGUCAGUAUAUUUAUAUCGGCAGACAUUUUGUGCUAAAAUAGAAAUUAAAAGUGUCUACUGCCAGUUACACUUGGAACAAAGCUGACUCCAUUUUGGAUUUACAGGCUAAGAAAGACAUACAAUUUCUCUUUCCGUAAUUCUAGUCACAAGCCUGAGCUAAGGAAUGCGUUAUGUAAACAAGACAAUGAGUCUAACAGAGAAGGGGGGAUGGAAUACUCUUCUUAAUACUCUUCUUAAUGUUAGCUUCACCAAGGAAGCCAGACACCAGUGACUGAUAAAACUUAGUAAUUAAUUUUACUUUCUAAAUCUUACUAAGUCCCAUUGUAAGCAAGAGGUGAAAUUAAGGUUUAGACAUGUCAGAAGGUAGAUUUAAAGACAUACGCCCGACGCUCAGUCUGGUUAAGAGAGAAAGAAAUGCUUUGAUGUGACACGUCUUGCGAUUUAUGCAGGCCAUUUAGAUAAGCCAAAAUUACGUCAAAAUCGUCAUCAAAAUUAAUUAACUCUUUCCAGGACAAGAAAUUUUGGUGAUGUAAUUGCGCCAUUUACUGACCAAAAACUAGAUAAUACUAGAUAAAGGUGUACACACCUACAGUACACUGGCCGAUUAACUAGUAACGUGCAGAAAGUUAGGCCCUUUAAAAAGUAAGAACAAAGGAGAAAUCAAGAACAGAAGGACAGAGAUUCAGGACACACAUUCACACUAUCUGGGACUUACACUCUUUCAAACUCUGUCUUCAAGAAACUAUCAACUCUCUCUUAAACUCACAUAUUUCUUAAUACGUUCUACUGCAUACAAUCAUAGCCAUACUUCCAUUCAAUUUCCUGGGACUUUUGAAUUCAUCUGAUGAGAAUAUCUACAACAUAACUGGUAAUUAUGCUGGUUUUAUUUAAUUAAUUUAAAUUAAUUAAAAUUUUACAUAGCAGGAAUAUAUGCCUGGAUAAAUUGUCAGAUUUCAACUUAGAAAUCUUAGUUAACUAAAGAAUAUAUGGUUAUAAAAAUUCCAUUACUGCAGGUGGAAUUAACGUUAACGAUAUAUUAACGGUAUUUACCAACAGGUCAGCAUGACACAUGUUAUCCAGAAAUAUUGACUUGCUCUAAAAUAAGAUAGAAAAUCUUAUGUAGGGAGAUUAAAAUUCUGCUAAUGUAAAAUCUGGUACAUUAUUCUUAUUGGAUGGUUCCAGGAAUGGUUGGUCUGAUUUGGACAUUGCAUUAAUUAAAAAUUGCAAUAGGAUAGUAUAUGCCUAGAAGGAUUGCAGCCAGCAUUGGAAGAGUUAAUCAGUGUGCUCUAACUAUCAGCCUUUAUGAUGUUCUGUGUGAAGUUGGUUUCUAAGCUGUCAUAAAUCUUGCUAAGUUCUUGACAGUUGAUGCUGUAGACGCUGAAUUUGUUUAAACAUUGCCAUUCUGUUGUAUACCAAUGUUAUACCUAAAUAUUCACUGAUAUUAUCACGCAUGUUACAUAUUAUUAUUAUUGUCACAAUAAAUUAUAUUUUUAUAAAGAA